GAUUGGAUAGCUCAGUUGGUGGAGCAUGAGAACCUUAAUCUCAGGGUUGUGGGUUCAAGCCCCACAUUGGGCA